ACUACAAUCCUACGUGCAAGGAAAGACAGGUCGCCGCCGGGGCCUUCUCCCAUUCCGCUCCGGACGCAGCCACCGCGCCGAUCUCCAACGCAAGUAUUGGGCCUGAGAACUCCGGCGUGGGGAAGAGGCUCUUGGGAGCGUCACGGCCCUCCUCGCCCAACACGUGGGAGCUUAGGGCUGCUCAGCCUUACCUAGUCCCCGCCUGGAGUGGCAAGCCCGGGUAGCAGGCAGUAUAUGCUGGGGAAGAAUAGUUGUUAAGCUCUGCCCUUAAAAAUAAAAACGUUUAAAUAUUCGU
rnacentral:lncRNA from 1 species